rnacentral:lncRNA from 1 species
AAACACAGACUGAAUCCAGCUGAGGGGGGACCAUGAAAAACUUCACGGAAGGCCUGCCUUUCUGCAGCACAGGGCAGGAAAAUCCAGAGGAACAGAUCUGAGAACCAGCAGCCACGGGAUCUCUCUACACAAGACUGGCUGUGCUGCAAAUCAUUAUGUGGACCAGCCUGACCUUGAACUUGCGGAGUUGCCUUCUGUCUGCCUCUCCUUCCUGAGUGCUGGGAUGAAAGAAAUGAAGUCAAACAGGAGCCUUACUCUAAGGAGUACAUGAUCUCCGCCUCCACGCAUGAAGACACGGAAGGGCAAGUGGAAUCUAUGCGGCACAGAGAGGAGGUGAGCGGUUAUCCGAGGAUGAGAAGGAAACCUCCACAUGACUCACCGAGCUGCUUUGUGCAAGCAGAUGUCAGUUGUCACUGUCCCUGAUGAGAACAACGUGUUAGAACACUAAAAAAAAUGUCUCCAGGUCUUGGCAUAAAUGAAGACUCUUCCCAUGGCCUGAACAUCUUUCUUCCAUCCUUCAAAGCCAUUGCUACACGGCAGCUCCCGGAUCAACGUGUUCCUCAUGGGAGUGAAUAAACAUCUCUGAGUCAGGAGGAGUGGAAAAAAUUCGCCCAAGAUUUACCCACAAAUUGGCUCUGAGAAAGCACCCCAGAACACUCCCAAAGCAUUUGUGCCAGGUUCCCUGGGCUGCUGGGUUUACUUGAGAAAUCAUAAAAUGACUUUUGUGUGUUUAUUCUUUGACAAUUUUAUACACAAAUGCAAUGCACCCCGGUCAAA